rnacentral:lncRNA from 7 species
GGAGAGUUGUGAGCUCGAUGGAGAUUAUGGAGUCCAGAUGGAGGAUUGUGGGUGGGCUGGAUGGAGACCUGUGGGGCCACAGGGAGAUCUGGCAGCUGCAUGAAGGGUCUGCAGUCUAAUAGAGAGGCUGCGGCCAUUGAAGAAAAAGUAGAGGCCCGAUCUGAUGGCCAAGAGAGCAAACAGACCUUCACCACCACCACCACCAGGUUCCCAUAGGACCGCCUCUUGGCACCUGUGGGCUCUGAGGGUUUGGGUGUCCCCAUCACACGGCAGGGAUGCCGUGACACUUCCACCCAUGGCUGACACUGGGGCCCUACAAAUGGGGUCUCCGACCUAACUGGGGUUGUAGGUAUGGGCGUCACCUGCAUCAUCACGCUGUCUACAUCGGGAAGAAUGUGGCACCACAACCCCCAUUGCAGCACUGGGUGGUGACAUCAGUCCCCAUUCCCACAUGUUGCCUGGGCUCAGGGAAAUGCUGAGUUGGGGGAAGCAGCGGUUUGUGUGCAGGGAGGGGAAGAGAUGGGACUUGGCCGUGUGGGAAAAGCUCAGGGCCAGCCGGUGUCCACAGUGCCCUCACCUGUCAGCACCAGCUUCACGGGGUCACUCUUUUUGGAUGUCCUCAGAGGCUUUGACACCUGGUACCGACACUGAUAUGUCCCGGCGACCUCCAGUUUUGUGACAGCAAAGGAGAACUCAGCU